rnacentral:rRNA from 1 species
AGACCCGAAACCCGGUGAUCUAGCCAUGGGCAGGUUGAAGGUUGGGUAACACUAACUGGAGGACCGAACCGACUAAUGUUGAAAAAUUAGCGGAUGACCUGUGGCUGGGGGUGAAAGGCCAAUCAAACCGGGAGAUAGCUGGUUCUCCCCGAAAGCUAUUUAGGUAGCGCCUCGUGAAUUCAUCUCCGGGGGUAGAGCACUGUUUCGGCUAGGGGGCCAUCCCGGCUUACCAACCCGAUGCAAACUGCGAAUACCGGAGAAUGUUAUCACGGGAGACACACGGCGGGUGCUAACGUCCGUCGUGAAGAGGGAAACAACCCAGACCGCCAGCUAAGGUCCCAAAGUCAUGGUUAAGUGGGAAACGAUGUGGGAAGGCCCAGACAGCCAGGAUGUUGGCUUAGAAGCAGCCAUCAUUUAAAGAAAGCGUAAUAGCUCACUGGUCGAGUCGGCCUGCGCGGAAGAUGUAACGGGGCUAAACCAUGCACCGAAGCUGCGGCAGCGAACGUAUCACCCAAGACAACUUUACGGAGUUGACGAUUGACGGAGCGAAGCGACGUCAAAGCGUUCAUUAAAGUCGAGUUGGCUUAGGGAUACGUUCGUUGGGUAGGGGAGCGUUCUGUAAGCCUGUGAAGGUGUGUCGUGAGGCAUGCUGGAGGUAUCAGAAGUGCGAAUGCUGACAUAAGUAACGAUAAAGCGGGUGAAAAGCCCGCUCGCCGGAAGACCAAGGGUUCCUGUCCAACGUUAAUCGGGGCAGGGUGAGUCGACCCCUAAGGCGAGGCCGAAAGGCGUAGUCGAUGGGAAACGGGUUAAUAUUCCCGUACUUGGUGUUACUGCGAAGGGGGGACGGAGAAGGCUAUGUUGGCCGGGCGACGGUUGUCCCGGUUUAAGCGUGUAGGUGUGUGUUCCAGGUAAAUCCGGUUCACUUUAACACUGAGGCGUGACGACGAGGCACUACGGUGCUGAAGCAACAAAUGCCCUGCUUCCAGGAAAAGCCUCUAAGCAUCAGGUAACACGAAAUCGUACCCCAAACCGACACAGGUGGUCAGGUAGAGAAUACCAAGGCGCUUGAGAGAACUCGGGUGAAGGAACUAGGCAAAAUGGUGCCGUAACUUCGGGAGAAGGCACGCUGACACGUAGGUGAAGUGAUUUACUCAUGGAGCUGAAGUCAGUCGAAGAUACCAGCUGGCUGCAACUGUUUAUUAAAAACACAGCACUGUGCAAACACGAAAGUGGACGUAUACGGUGUGACGCCUGCCCGGUGCCGGAAGGUUAAUUGAUGGGGUCAGCGCAAGCGAAGCUCCUGAUCGAAGCCCCGGUAAACGGCGGCCGUAACUAUAACGGUCCUAAGGUAGCGAAAUUCCUUGUCGGGUAAGUUCCGACCUGCACGAAUGGCGUAAUGAUGGCCAGGCUGUCUCCACCCGAGACUCAGUGAAAUUGAACUCGCUGUGAAGAUGCAGUGUACCCGCGGCAAGACGGAAAGACCCCGUGAACCUUUACUAUAGCUUGACACUGAACAUUGAGCCUUGAUGUGUAGGAUAGGUGGGAGGCUUUGAAGUGUGGACGCCAGUCUGCAUGGAGCCGACCUUGAAAUACCACCCUUUAAUGUUUGAUGUUCUAACGUGGACCCGUAAUCCGGGUUGCGGACAGUGUCUGGUGGGUAGUUUGACUGGGGCGGUCUCCUCCUAAAGAGUAACGGAGGAGCACGAAGGUUGGCUAAUCCUGGUCGGACAUCAGGAGGUUAGUGCAAUGGCAUAAGCCAGCUUGACUGCGAGCGUGACGGCGCGAGCAGGUGCGAAAGCAGGUCAUAGUGAUCCGGUGGUUCUGAAUGGAAGGGCCAUCGCUCAACGGAUAAAAGGUACUCCGGGGAUAACAGGCUGAUACCGCCCAAGAGUUCAUAUCGACGGCGGUGUUUGGCACCUCGAUGUCGGCUCAUCACAUCCUGGGGCUGAAGUAGGUCCCAAGGGUAUGGCUGUUCGCCAUUUAAAGUGGUACGCGAGCUGGGUUUAGAACGUCGUGAGACAGUUCGGUCCCUAUCUGCCGUGGGCGCUGGAGAACUGAGGGGGGCUGCUCCUAGUACGAGAGGACCGGAGUGGACGCAUCACUGGUGUUCGGGUUGUCAUGCCAAUGGCACUGCCCGGUAGCUAAAUGCGGAAGAGAUAAGUGCUGAAAGCAUCUAAGCACGAAACUUGCCCCGAGAUGAGUUCUCCCUGAGACUUAGAGUCUCCUGAAGGAACGUUGAAGACGACGACGUUGAUAGGCCGGGUGU